rnacentral:rRNA from 1 species
AUACGGGGGGUGCAAGCGUUAUUCGGAUUUAUGGGGCGUAAAGAGCGCGUAGGCGGCUUGGUAAGUCAGAUGUGAAAGCCCGGGGCUCAACCCCGGAAGUGCAUUUGAAACUAUCAGGCUUGAGUAUGGGAGAGGGAAGUGGAAUUCCUGGUGUAGAGGUGAAAUUCGUAGAUAUCAGGAGGAACACCGGUGGCGAAGGCGACUUCCUGGACCAAUACUGACGCUGAGGCGCGAAGGCGUGGGGAGCAAACAGGAUUAGAAACCCCGGUAGUCC